rnacentral:miRNA from 1 species
GGAGAAUUGCUUGAACCUGGGAGGUGGAGGUUGCAGUGAGCUGAGAUCACGCCACUGCAUUCCAGCCUGGGCGACAGAGU